ensembl:snoRNA SNORD36 Small nucleolar RNA SNORD36
GUGCAGUGAUGACCUGAAUUUCUUCACUUGAUAUAGCCGUGAUUCUUCAGAGCUUUUUAACCCUGAGCACU